AUCUGCUGUGCAAAAGGGGGGCAAAACCUACACAGUUAUAUUAUAGUGAGCGAUAGUAUACUGGUGCCCCCUAGCGUAUGGUUACAUUUCAUCAGCUAGCUUAAAUAGACGGCAGUCCUGCAAAGCAAUGCGGCUCGAUCUCCACCGGCCGCCAGCGAGUCAUUUGCGCCUCCUUUCAUCUGAUUGACGCUUCAGGGUUUUUUUUUUCUAAUUGAGUUAGACGUUUCUGAAUUACGCAUUUGGGUCCACGCAUCAUCCUUCCUUCAAGUUGGAUAUUCUAUGUUUCAUGUAUUUCCGCUUGCGCUUAGCCCGGGGCAAUACUUUUCUCGAGUGGUGUUAUUUUAGGUUUUACUUUUGCAUAACGGACAAUGCAGGUACUGUAGGUGUCACUUUGGAUUUUUACUUUUUUUGUGGGAAGUACUCCACGCCAGUAAUUCAUCGCCUGUUGCUUUAUGGUGAAGAAGGUGAAGAACGAUGGAGGGAGACUACACCUACCCACCCCACAAUCGGUUUCCAGGGAAUUUGCAAAUAAUACAACAUCGAUGUUAGCCCAUCGUUUACGCGACACGAACAAAAGCCGCCACCUUCCCCGCAUGUUCACUGCUGAGGAAUCGCCAUUCUUAGGACGUCUCCUGCCACUUAGUGCACGUGAUCAUUAUUCAUUUAUCGUAAAGGCUUUAACGUUAUAACGUGACAUAAGGGUGCCUGUGAUACGUCACAUUUAUUAUUUUUAUGUUGCAGGGGUUGGAAGAUUUAGUUCAUUUAUAUUAUUAUCUACAUUUACAAUAUUAUUUUAUUUUCGUUUAGUAAGACCAAAACAGAACUGACAAAAGUGUUGAAUCUGUGCCGUUUGUCGUGCUCGUUAUGCUCUGAGCUUGAAGAGUUUCCAGAAAUACGCGGAAACCAAUGAUGCCUGACCGCUACAGAGCAGCCUGUUUUCCUAAGGCUUUUCUGUGGUAUGCGUGGUGUUUAAAUCAGGAUUCAUAUUUCCUAUAACUGUUGUUUCGAGGUACGUUGUUAUGCUAAAAACUGUAAUGAAACAGAAACGAACCGUGGGCUCACAGAUCAGUAUUCUUAGCCGUCGGCUGCCACUCUCCCCGUGCCUUUGUCUUCGCUGUAUUUCUACCCAGGUGUUGUGCCAUCCUCGCCAUGCUGGGUGUUGCCCAUACCCCCCCCCCCCCCCCCCCAGCAGGGCGGAGCCGUCCCGCUGUUCCGCCCUCGAUGGCUACCUCUGUCAUCAUAAACGUUUGUUGAAGGUGGAGUACUUUUCACAUUGAGGGCAAACAGGUACCCCUACCUUAUUCAUUACUCAUUAUUAUACAUCUAUUAUUUGCUUCUUUGAAAUUGAUCGUUAUUCCACCAUAUAAUGUUCAAAGGUAUGUUUUUCUUAAUUAUUUUUUUCAGUGUUAAAUCCAUAUAUGCAAAGUUAACCCAGGCACAAGGGGCUUCAUAUGAAAUCAGAUUAAUUUACUGUGUGAAAUGUACCCUAAAAUCAACUUGGUGCUUGACUGGUAACCCUCACACUUGUAAAACAACAUAUUCCUAUGUUAUAGAUCUUUUAGUUAAAGUCUGAAUGAUUAUAGUUAAGGUUCGGGUUAGGUUACUAAAUCAUCCAGAGUGAAAACAACUAAAGCACAUAUGAUCUACUGGUCAACUUUCUGAUCACUUAAACAGACAGGAAUUGUGACUCAGUUCCCCUCCGCUGCUAUCUGCCGGUAACCAGGCUUACUCUAUCUAACCAGGGUAUAUCCAGGACCAUCCGAUUUUUCCAGCUGACUAGCAAAACGGAUGCUCUCGAUCACAAUAGGCCGAUAAAGAGCAUCAACACUCACACGCUUACCCACACAUGUACACAUACAGACACACACAUACAGACAAAUUCAGCUUCUUCAGAGAAACGUCAUAGAUCUCUAGAACAUGAAGGAAUGUAAGAUGGAACCGGAUGGUCACAAGCCAACAGAGCCAGAUGGAGGCCGGUUCUGAAAAAGAAAUAAUUACUGAAAAAGUUUGUAAACACCCACUUACAUUUGCCUACAUUCCCCAGUAAACCUCCUGACCGCCUUCCAGAAAGAGCACAGUAUGGCUGGUAUCACAUCCUACAGAAACAGGAAACCGCGCUGACAGGAACGUCUUCUGAUGGAAAGUGUUACUCAGUCGCGUGUGGGACAGUGCAGCAGAGCUGGCGGAUUCUUCGAGGUUUUUCCCGCUAAGGUGAAGUCAUGCCAGACGGAUCUGAAGCUUCAGGGAGGCCUUUGGUGGAACACAAGGCCUCGAAGGCAUUUCCAUUCUUGCCUGAAACACUUGUCACACAGAAACAUCCACCUAAUCGAUAAUCACAAAGACCGGCAAAUCAGCAGGAAGACGGUUCACAUGAACGGGCCAAAAAAUCCGCAGCAAUAUUCUGAGCCAUUAACAUCCACAAUGCUGGUUUUAUCUGUUUAUCCGUUUAUUUGUUCAUUAAAUUUUUGGUAGAAAUGCUGA